rnacentral:lncRNA from 1 species
CCCCCCCAGUUUACCGUGGAAGGCUAAAUGAAACAUAGGCCAAAUCCGGCCCAUAAAAGAAAAUGGAACCAAUGACGGGCCACUUAACCAAAGAUGGACGCUGUAUAAAUAAAACGGGCCUUAACGGGUCGGCGAGAGGCCCAGUACGGUUCGCCCAACAGGUUCCCUAUUGGGGCCGAAAUUAUGUAUUGCUUCUCAGGUUUUCCCCCCUUUUUAAAAAAAUUAACGCAAAAGAUUUUUUAUUUUUAUUUUAAUUUUUUUCUAUUCGGUAGUUAUGAUGAAAAAUAGAUGAUUUGUUAAUGAAAAAUUUUGAGGGAGAAAUNUUUAAAUAUCUACCACAAUUAAAAAAAAUUAAAAUAUCAAUUUUACCUUUAACUUAAGAGCAAAUAAGAAAUUUUGGUGACGGUAGAGGAGGUAUAUCGGAAAAGACCAAAAAUCAAAAUACUUUUUGUACCCCUGACUUUAAGGGCAAAUAAGAAAGACAGUGAUGAUGGAAGGGCAUAUUUGAAAUGGCAAAAUAGUAAUUUUACAAAGAUAACAAAGUUAAUUAACAGAUUUUAACUCUAGGAGUAUAUUAGAAAUAGGUUGGAACGUAGGAAGGAUAUUUUCAAUAUUAGCCUUCUAAAAGGAGUGAAUCGGAAAGUUGACAACUUUUCAGGGGUAUAUAUUAGCAAUUGCCCCUAUAAUAUAUUAGCAUAAGCUAUGUGUCGAAAAAAAAAAAGAAAAAAAAAAANUUCCUCUAAUUACUUAAAUAUUUGUAUAAUAAUUUAAUUAAAAUAGUUGGUUAGAUAUAUAUAUAUAUGCCACGUGGCACAUUGAAACUUCUUUUGUAAGUGCGCCACGUGGCAUCAUAUGGUUCAAUUGGAACAAUGCUUCCAAAAUUAUAUAUAUAUAUAUAUAUGAUACUAGUAAAAUACCCGUGCGAUGCUGCGGAUCUAAAAUAUUUUUAUAAUAAAUUUUAUUUUUUUAAUAUUUUUAUAUAGUUUUAUAAGUCUAAUUAUUAAAUAAAUAAAAGUAUAUAAAAAUAAUUUAAUAGUUAAAUCUUAAAAUUGAUAUAUGCCCAAAUAAAUUUAUACAUCACUUUAUUUUAUAAAGAUUUAUGUGAGAAAGAUUUGAGAUAAAUCUAUCAAAAUAAUUUUUUAAAAAUCAAUAGAUAGAAGGGAAGUAAAUUUGUAGAAUAAAUUGCUUAAUAAAAUUAAUUAUAUAUAUAUAUAUACAUAUACACUAUUUUUAAAAUUUUUCACUUAAAAUUUAAAUUAUGUAUUUUUUUAUACAACGAUAUUUUAA